rnacentral:rRNA from 1 species
UACGGGGGGGAGCAAGCGUUGUUCGGAUUUACUGGGCGUAAAGGGCGCGUAGGCGGUCAGCACAAGUCAGUUGUGAAAUCUCCGGGCUUAACUCGGAACGGUCAAGUGAUACUGUCGGACUAGAGUACAGAAGGGGCAACUGGAAUUCUCGGUGUAGCGGUGAAAUGCGUAGAUAUCGAAAGGAACACCUGCGGCGAAGGCGGGUUGCUGGGCUGAUACUGACGCUGAGGCGCGAAAGCCAGGGGAGCGAACGGG